GGCAAAAUAAAUUUAUUAUGAAAAUUAUUUGUGAAGAAAACAGAUUUAAGGCUGAUUUAAAAAAAAUAAUAAUAAUACAAGGCACAACCUGCCGCUAUUCGAUUAGUUAAAAUAUAAUUGUAAGGAAGAUUUAUCUAUAUAUUUCACAAGUACAAAAUAGAUUUAAAAAAAAACUGAAAAUCCAGUAAUGAUAAGUGCCACGCGUUGGCAAACGGAAGCAGCAGCGGCAAAGCACCUACAACAAAUGGCUUUCCUGGCAGCCAAACUCAUCUCCACCGCCACUGCCUCUAGCUCUCUCUGUAUCUUCCUCAUCUUCUUCUCCUUGUCGUCGUUGACCAGAUCAUCCACGGAAGGAGAACCUACUCCAACUCCAUGGCCGCACCAAUUCCACGCCAUUCUGUUUAUGAAUUACAGCGGGAUCCUCCAAAAGAUCGAUCUCUGGUACGAUUGGCCCAACGGAAGAAACUUCAACAUCAUCCAGCACCAGCUGGGGAAGCUACUCUACGACCUCGAGUGGAACAACGGCACUACCUUCUUUUACACUUUGGACUUCAAUAAGGAGUGUUCCUCUGCCCAGUUGGAGGUUGGGAUACUCCGCCCUAAUUGGCUGGAUGGAGCCACGUAUCUUGGUCAGAAACACGUUGAUGGAUUUCUUUGCAAUGUGUGGCAGAAGGUGGAUUUCGUUUGGUACUAUGAAGAUGUUGUGACUAAGAGGCCCGUUCACUGGGUCUUCUACACCGGGAGGGAGGCCCAUGUGAUGACGUUUGAAGUGGGUGCUGCGCUUGAGGAUGCAGAAUGGCAAGUCCCUGCAUACUGCUUUGACAAGAACACAAACGCUGAUGAAUUGGCCAUCGCUGAUGGAGUUCUGAGAGGUUCCAUGGCACUCUCAAUGUGACGGCUAGUGAAUAUGGCAGGAUUUGUUUGUUUUGUUUUAGUAAUUUUUAAUUAGCUCUCUCUGAACUCUUAAGCUUAUAACAAGCACAAUAAUUUUCUAUGUUAAUGACAGUAUCACACUUCUGGCACGGUAUUGUCAUUUGUGUGUCAUUAAUAAGUUGAGCAAUCCUUUUCAGAAAUUAUCUGGUGGAUUACAGUUAUUUAUUUUGACUACCACUCAUAAAUGAUAAAUGCGUCUUC
rnacentral:misc_RNA from 1 species